GCCCUGGUAGUGUAGUGGUCUAGCACUGAGCCCUGUCAAGGCUCCAACCCGGGUUCGAGUCCCGGCCAGGGCG
rnacentral:tRNA from 1 species